UAGGGAAUAUUGGGCAAUGGGCGGAGGCCUGACCCAGCCAUGCCGCGUGCAGGAAGACGGCGUUCUGCGUUGUAAACUGCUUUUAUACGGGAAGAAAAGGCCCAUGCGUGGGACAUUGCCGGUACCGUAUGAAUAAGCACCGGCUAACUCCGUGCCAGCAGCCGCGGUAAUACGGAGGGUGCAAGCGUUGUCCGGAUUUAUUGGGUUUAAAGGGUGCGUAGGCGGCCGAUUAAGUCAGCGGUGAAAGUUUAUGGCUCAACCAUGAAAUUGCCGUUGAUACUGGUUGGCUUGAGUGUCGAUGGGGUACAUGGAAUUUAUGGUGUAGCGGUGAAAUGCAUAGAUACCAUAAGGAACACCGAUAGCGAAGGCAUUGUACUUAUCGACAACUGACGCUGAGGCACGAAAGCGCGGGUAGCGAACAGGAUUAGAUACCCUGGUAGUCCGCGCCGUAAACGAUGAUCACUCGCUGUCAUGCCUAUAUGGUGUGGUGGCCAACCGAAAGCUGUAAGUGAUCCAACCUGGGGAGUACGCCGCAAGGU
rnacentral:rRNA from 1 species